AUUGAACGCUGGCGGCAGGCUUAACACAUGCAAGUCGAGCGGGGAAGGGUAGCUUGCUACCUGACCUAGCGGCGGACGGGUGAGUAAUGCUUAGGAAUCUGCCUAUUAGUGGGGGACGACCUUCCGAAAGGAAUGCUAAUACCGCAUACGCCCUACGGGGGAAAGCAGGGGAUCUUCGCACCUUGCGCUAAUAGAUGAGUCUAAGUCAGAUUAGCUAGUUGUAGGGGUAAAGGCCUACCAAGGCGACGAUCUGUGGCGGGUCUGAGAGGAUGAUCCGCCACACUGGGACUGAGACACGGCCCAGACGCCUACGGGAGGCAGCAGUGGGGAAUAUUGGACAAUGGGCGAAAGCCUGAUCCAGCCAUGCCGCGUGUGUGAAGAAGGCCUUUUGGUUGUAAAGCACUUUAAGCGAGGAGGAGGCUACUUGGAUUAAUACUCUAGGAUAGUGGACGUUACUCGCAGAAUAAGCACCGGCUAACUCUGUGCCAGCAGCCGCCGUAACAC
rnacentral:rRNA from 1 species